rnacentral:rRNA from 1 species
GAUGAACGCUGGCGGCGUGCCUAAUACAUGCAAGUCGAACGAACAGACGAGGACCUUGCUCCACUAACGUUAGCCGCGGGCGGAAGACUAACACGUGGAUCACCUCCCUUUAAGACUGGGAUAACUUCGUGGAACCGGUACUAAUACCGACUAAUAUAUUCAUCCGGUUGGUUGAAUAGUUAAAGCGGUGUUUGCUGUCACUGAUAGCUAUAUCCGCGCGGCAUUAGCUAGUGGGUAAGGUGACGGCCUUGCGAGGCAACGCUGCGUAGCCGACCUGGGAGGGUGAUCGGCCACACUGGAACUGGGACACGGUCCAGACUACUGAGGGAGGCAGCAGUAGGGAAUGGUCGGCAGAGGGCGAAAGCCUGACGGAGCAGCGGCGCGUGAGUGAUGAAGGUGUUGGGUUCGUGAAACUGUCUUAUUAGUGAAGAACAAAUGUGUAAGUAACUAUGCACGUAUUGACGGUACCUGAUCAGAAAGCAACGGCUAACUACGUG